rnacentral:lncRNA from 1 species
CUGACGUGCCCGCAUUAAUCAGAAAUUCACCAUCCUAGUUCCAAGGCAGAGGGAUGACAGGCACGGCACCAGCAGCGGCCCCACCUUCCUUCUGCAAAUGCAUUCUUCAAUUCUAGAAGGAAAUCAUAAGCGACUUGCCCGGGGAGGAUUGCUCAUGAGUGAGUAAAGGAAUAAACUUUAUGAUAAUUAUUAAUCAUUAUUAUUUUACUUAAGCACUAUAUCCCUCCUUUCAGAAGGCACUUAAGGGAGCA